GAUUCGGUGGCGGAGUGAUAUCGCAUCCACUUUACCUUUGGGUGCUCAACUUUACUGUGGAGGUUGCCUGUUUGAAUCAGGCCCGAGUCA